CUUCUCCAUUUUCUGUGAUCAUCGUAUACUCUAAUCUCUGUGGUCUAAUUGGUUUCUAUAACAACUUAAAAGUGGGGACCUGAAGUUUCUCAACAACAGAACAACAAGUGUCUGUCACUGGUUAAGCUGUUCUUUUCUCAUAUCCACAAAUAGGAUCAUCAUACAUGACAGUUAUCCGUAAAUGAAGAUAUUGUGUUAGGUUGGUGGUGAAGUUGCUGUCGCAGACAAAUUUUUCGAAAAUUAAGACAGGAAGACAAAGGCAUGAGCUAGGAGAAGAAAUAUUCUAUUCUUAGAGCUUCAUUAAAAAGAAAAGUAGAAAUGGCGUUGAAGAGAGGGAGCACAAGAGCUAGAAGAGAAACAAAGUCAAUCACAAGAAGCAGGCAAGAAAGACAGGAGGACAUGUCAUUUGGGUUAUACAAAAGAUGUGAAAGCCAAGAGAUGAAGAAGAAAAAAAAAAAAAAAAAA